UACGAAGGGGGCUAGCGUUGCUCGGAAUCACUGGGCGUAAAGGGCGCGUAGGCGGCCUUCUAAGUCAGACGUGAAAUCCCCCGGCUUAACCUGGGAACUGCGCUUCUAACUGGCAGGCUUGAGUGUGGGCAGAGGGGGGUGGAAUUCCGAGUGUAGAGGUGAAAUUCGUAGAUAUUCGGAAGAACACCAGUGGCGAAGGCGACUUACUGGACACAUAUUGACGCUGAGGUGCGAAAGCGUGGGGAGCAAACAGGG
rnacentral:rRNA from 1 species